UACAGAGGUCUCAAGCGUUGUUCGGAUUCAUUGGGCGUAAAGGGUGCGUAGGCGGCGCGGUAAGUCGGGUGUGAAAUUUCGAGGCUUAACUUCGAAACUGCAUUCGAUACUGCCGUGCUAGAGGACUGGAGAGGAGACUGGAAUUUACGGUGUAGCGGUGAAAUGCGUAGAUAUCGUAAGGAAGACCAGUGGCGAAGGCGGCAUCCUGGACCGGUAUUGACGCUGAGGAGCGAAAGCCAGGGGAGCAAACGGG
rnacentral:rRNA from 1 species